GACGAACGCUGGCGGCGUGCUUAACACAUGCAAGUCGAACGGAGAGGCCCUGCUUUUGUGGGGUGCUCGAGUGGCGAACGGGUGAGUAACACGUGAGUAACCUGCCCUUGACUUUGGGAUAACUUCAGGAAACUGGGGCUAAUACCGGAUAGGAGCUCCUGCUGCAUGGUGGGGGUUGGAAAGUUUCGGCGGUUGGGGAUGGACUCGCGGCUUAUCAGCUUGUUGGUGGGGUAGUGGCUUACCAAGGCUUUGACGGGUAGCCGGCCUGAGAGGGUGACCGGCCACAUUGGGACUGAGAUACGGCCCAGACUCCUACGGGAGGCAGCAGUGGGGAAUAUUGCCCAAUGGGCGGAAGCCUGAUGCAGCAACGCCGCGUGCGGGAUGACGGCCUUCGGGUUGUAAACCGCUUUCGCCUGUGACGAAGCGUGAGUGACGGUAAUGGGUAAAGAAGCACCGGCUAACUACGUG
rnacentral:rRNA from 1 species